rnacentral:rRNA from 1 species
AGGGUGCAGGGCGGAUGCCUUGGCACUAGGAGCCGAUGAAGGACGUGAUAAGCUGCGAUAAGCUUCGGGGAGUUGCACGUAAACUUUGAUCCGAAGAUUUCCGAAUGAGGAAACUCACUUAGAGUAAUGUCUAAGUAUCAUUAAGUGAAUACAUAGCUUAAUGAGGGGAACUCAGGGAACUGAAACAUCUAAGUACCUGAAGGAAGAGAAAGAAAUUCGAUUCCGUAAGUAGCGGCGAGCGAACGCGGAUUAGCCCAAACCAAUAAAGUUUUCUUUAUUGGGGUUGCGGACAUAUCAUAACGAAGAGGUAUCGUAAUUGAAGAGGUUUGGAAAGACCCACCACAGAAGGUAAUAGUCCUGUAUGUUAAACGAGAAGACUUUAGAUAUGAUCCAGAGUACCACGGGACACGUGAAACCCUGUGGGAAGCAGGAGGGACCACCCUCCAAGGCUAAAUACUACCUAGUGACCGAUAGCGUAUAGUACCGUGAGGGAAAGGUGAAAAGAACCCCGGGAGGGGAGUGAAAUAGAACCUGAAACCCUGCACUUACAAGCUGUGGAAGCACAUUUCUUGUGUGACCGCGUACUUUUUGUAGAACGGGCCAACGAGUUACGUUAAGUAGCAAGGUUAAGCACUUAAGGUGCGGAGCCGUAGCGAAAGCGAGUUUUAACUGAGCGUUCAGUUACUUGACGUAGACCCGAAACCGGGCGACCUACCCAUGAGCAGGAUGAAGCGAAAGUAAAAUUUCGUGGAGGUCCGAACCCACGAGCGUUGAAAAGCUCGGGGAUGACUUGUGGGUAGCGGUGAAAUUCCAAUCGAGCCCGGAGAUAGCUGGUUCUCCCCGAAAUAGCUUUAGGGCUAGCCUCAAGGUGAGAGAUACGGAGGUAGAGCACUGAAUGUCCUAGGGGGUAUUGCACCUACCGAAGACUAUCAAACUCCGAAUGCCGUCAUCUUAUACUUGGGAGUCAGACUGUGGGUGAUAAGAUUCAUAGUCGAAAGGGCAACAGCCCAGAUCGUCAGCUAAGGUCCCUAAAUGUAAGUUAAGUGGUAAAGGAUGUGGGAUUGCACAGACAACCAGGAUGUUGGCUUAGAAGCAGCCACUCAUUCAAAGAGUGCGUAAUAGCUCACUGGUCGAGUGAUCCUGCGCCGAAGAUUUCCGGGGCUAAAACUUACUACCGAAGCUACGGCAUCAGUAAUGAUGGGUAGGGGAGCUUCCCAUACGGGUUGAAGCAUGACCGUAAGGACAUGUGGACAGUAUGGGAGUGAGAAUGUUGGCAUGAGUAGCGAGAUGUGGGUGAGAAUCCCACAGGCCGUAAACCCAAGGUUUCCAGGGGAAGGUUCGUCCGCCCUGGGUUAGUCGGGACCUAAGCUGAGGCCGAAAGGCGUAGGUGAUGGACAACAGGUUGAUAUUCCUGUACUACCGAUAACCGUUUGAGAGAAGGGAUGACACAGUAGGAUAAGCUAAGCACACUGUUGGUUAUGUGUGCCCAAGCAUUGAGGCAGUCAAAGUAGGCAAAUCCGCUUUGAUAAUGCUGGGAUGUGAUGGGGAGCGAAAUUUAGUAGCGAAGUAGCUGAUUUCACACUGUCAAGAAAAGUCUCUAUCGAGGUUAAAGGUACCCGUACCGCAAACCGACACAGGUGGGUGAGGAGAGUAUCCUAAGGCCAGCGAGAGAACUGUUGUUAAGGAACUCGGCAAAAUGACCCCGUAACUUAGGGAUAAGGGGUGCCACCAUCAGGUGGCCGCAGAGAAUAGGCCCAAGCGACUGUUUACCAAAAACAUAGGUUUCUGCUAAGUCGCAAGACGAUGUAUAGGAGCUGACGCCUGCCCGGUGCUGGAAGGUUAAGGGGAUCUGUUAGAGCAAUCGAAGCAGUGAACUUAAGCCCCAGUAAACGGCGGCCGUAACUAUAACGGUCCUAAGGUAGCGAAAUUCCUUGUCGGGUAAGUUCCGACCCGCACGAAAGGCGUAACGAUUUGGGCACUGUCUCAACAACAGACUCGGUGAAAUUGUAAUUCCGGUGAAGAUGCCGGAUACCUGCGACAGGACGGAAAGACCCCAUGGAGCUUUACUGUAGCUUGACAUUGGGUCUUGGUACUACAUGUACAGGAUAGGUGGGAGGCUUUGAAACCAGGACGCCAGUUUUGGCGGAGCCAUCCUUGGGAUACCACCCUUGUAGUACUGGGACUCUAACCAUAGGCCAUGAAUCUGGUCUUGGGACACUGUCAGGUGGGCAGUUUGACUGGGGCGGUCGCCUCCCAAAAGGUAACGGAGGCGCUCAAAGGUUCUCUCAGUACGGUCGGAAAUCGUACGUAGAGUGUAAAGGCAAAAGAGAGCUUGAUUGCAAGACAUACAGGUCGAGCAAGGAUGAAAAUCGGACUUAGUGAUCCGGUGGUUCUGCGUGGAAGGGCCAUCGCUCAACGGAUAAAAGCUACCCUGGGGAUAACAGGCUUAUCUCCCCCAAGAGUCCACAUCGACGGGGAGGUUUGGCACCUCGAUGUCGGCUCAUCACAUCCUGGGGCUGUAGUAGGUCCCAAGGGUUGGGCUGUUCGCCCAUUAAAGUGGUACGCGAGCUGGGUUCAGAACGUCGUGAGACAGUUCGGUCCCUAUCCGUCGCAGGCGUAGGAAAUUUGAGAAGACC